rnacentral:lncRNA from 1 species
CACCGCCCCUGCGGUCCGCCUCCGAACCGCGCGGUGGGGCGGGGCGGCCCCGGGAGCCGACCCCGCCCCGGAAGUCCUUGUCUGCGUGCUGGCUUACCCCCCAGGACGGGCAGCUCACCACUCUUCCUGCCAGGACAGAUCUGUUUCAGAGGCGUACCCUUCUGUCUGUGGCGAAAAGCUCACGUUUCACUGGAAGUAGGACCCACGGCAGAAACAACAGGUCGGUCACUCUUAAAUGUCCCCCUCUGUCCCCACCUUUUUACGUGGCCUUGUCUUGGGCUCACUCGUCCUUUGCGUUUGUUCUGGCUUUUUAUCACGUGGUGUGUUGAUUCAGGAGCUUGUUAAGGAAAGCUAAAUAAUAUACGGACACAGCGGCAAGUGAGGCAUAAAAUAAGUUACUGGGACGCUGCCUGCCUCGUUUUUGCCUAUUUGCUUGGCUUUGCCGAGCGUCGGCUCGCGUCACCGCACGGCUACCACGCACCCUGUUUUCGUAGAGCACCUGUGAGAAAAUCAGGGCUUCGACACCUCUGAGUUACAGCAGCCUGGAAAAUCUAGACUACAAACACGCGUCAGCUUUGUCACUCCUUAAACCAGUGGAUUUCUGUUAUGUUCGCCUUUUGUAGGACUCACAGGAUUGGCGCACAGAAAACAAAACAAAACACCUGUUCCGCCCAAAAUAGUUCUCUCAAGAAGCGUGAAAUACAAGUUCUGAGCGAUCAGACA